CGGCCCCACCUGCCUGCUGCCCAGCUCCCGCGGGCACAACGUGCGAGGCCCCGUAGCCUUGUCUCCAGGCGAGCGGGGAUGUGAGAUGAUGAAGGAAACCGUUUAACCCUAUUGCCCUUCCUGGGUGUUAUUCAUGCUACAUGAGUCAAUUCUCGUGAUGCUGGGUGUCCAGAGGUAAGUUCAACCACUGGUACCUCCAUGUGUCAGAAGCUAGGCCCACAGGAAGCCAGCUCUCAGGGCCAGACAUCACAGUGAGAGGGACGGUCAAGAAGCCUGCCAGUCCUCUGGAACACCAGUCCUUAGAGCGAGUAACGGUUUGGAAGGCCUCCUUUUCCGGGUGACUUUCUGAGUUACUAAGAACUUCUGAGAUCACUGCCUUCACUGUGCAUCUCUCCUGGGGUAACCGUUUUUGUUUUUUUUAAUAGUCCACUUUAUUCUGCCAUAUGUCUUGUGUGCAGAUUUUGGGGGACAAUAGUAUCUCCAGCUAUUUCGUGUGCUUUACUUGAUCACCCCUGUUGUCUUCCUUCUUAGUCUCUGUGUAGAUCAUAAUCCAGAAUAAAGACGCGAAAGGAAACGUACGUGAGGAUUUCUUCCCCCUCUAGUUUUACCAACACUCACUGGGAGGGGAAGAUCUUUUAAAAAUGUACUUUGCCUCUGUCACCAGCUUCCGUGAUGCCCUCGGUCUGCAGUGUGGAACAUAUGGCCGCCUUGGUCUAGGUCGGUGCCCUGUCAGACUCUGAUCUGUGAAGCUGCCCGUUUCCGGCGUGAAAUGAGGCAGAAAGGAGAAGAUGAGUACCCGGUGGGACAAAGAAGCUGGGCCUCUACAACAUAAUAAUGCCGCCACGAGGCCCAAAUUCUCUGAUCCUUCGUCUGCAAUCAUCUCUCCGUGGAAUUUGGAGACGUGUUCUAAACAUGAAUUUCCUGAAAUCAGAAAUCAUAGAUAAGUCAUUUUGUAGUAACCUACUUUGUGAAUCAGAGGUGAGGUACUCAGUAAUUCCUCGCUGAAUUGCAUGAAUUUGGGAGAUUUUCCAUCGAUUCUGUUGAAGGAAUACGGAUACGGAUGACACAGUUGAUUACAGUGGAGCCUCCUUUCUGAGACUCUCAGACACAUGACGUUUCUCAGAUGCUUUUUUUUUUUCCCCUUAAAGCUUGGGUAGGAACUUCCAUAAGCUGGUCUUCUUAUUCGUUAGUUCUUCAGGUACACCUAUGGAUUCUUCGGAAGGGCUUUACAUUUUUUUCUUAAUUAAAAAUUUUUAGGGACACCUGGGUGGCUCAGUCGGUUAAGUGCCUGACUCUUCAUUUCGGCUCAGGUCAUGAUCUCGCGGUUCUUGAAUUGAAGCCCCUUGGGCUCUGCGCUGGCAGCCAGAGCCUGCUUGGGAUGCUCUCUCUCUGCCUCUCCCUCGUCUG
rnacentral:lncRNA from 1 species